CUGCCCAGUGAGAGCUAUCAAAGUCAAUUUUUUCAUUAAACCGGUCUCCAAUGGGAGUCCAUACUACAAAAAUGCAUAGUUUGCCCCAAGUAGUGCAGUUUGAGUGGUGACUUGACUGUAGUACUUGUGACUUUUGCUCAAACAGAUUUUACCCUCUCUUUCCUCUAGAUAGUCUAACUCCUUGAAUGCAUCCAAUACAUUAUAAAUACCAAUACAUUUAUCGCAUAACUUAUAUGAGCACUUGUACUCCACUGGGACUUUCCCUCCAUCACAGCAUUUGCACGUAAAAAUACUGUCAGGUGUUGCCCUUAUAAAAGGAAAGGAAUGGCUCGCAACCAACCCUGAAUCCAGCAAUCUGCCAUUUUGAUGCUUUUUUACGAUAUGCUCUCCAAAAGCUUUUUUUGCAUCUGUUUCAUGCUCUCUACCAUACUUCACGGUGGGGAGAGCACUAAUGUCUUUGUCUUUGAAUAACCUGGCUAGAAGGGGGGUCACUUUUAUCUUCUUGCCACUUGACUUCCCAAUAGACUGGACUUUGGUGCACACAUCUUUUAUUUUUGUAGCCGUGAUGCAGCCUACGCGCUGGUCUCUCCAGAUUUGUGAGCCUCCCUGCGCCCUUGUUGUUCUCUCGAGCUCCUUCAAUUGAUUUUCAUUAAAAGAAAGAGAGUUUGAAAAUAAAUGUAUCAAUUCCUGCUCAUCUUUUCCAUCAUUUUCAGCCAGAAUCUCAUCUGCAAUCUCCCAUAAAGAAGGUGGGCAAUCGUAAUCACGAGGAGGGUCAAUGCAUUUGAGGACAGCUGCCAAUGGUUUUGCAUCCCGUAGUUGUUGAAACAGUUGCCCAAUCGUUCAUUUUCAUGGCCCCUUACAUCCAAUGGGCGGGGAUCAGAAGAUUUUUUAAAGUCACUCUGAACAACACGUUUUUUGUUCUUGUUGGUUACUUCGUGCUUUCUUAUUUCCACAUCUUUUAUUUUCAUAAACCUAACAUUACGCUGAGUGCUUACAUUCCAAGAACAAGCAACAUCGGUACAGGCAGGGUCGAUCAUUCCUUUAGAAUUUGCGCAUUCAACUUUAUACAGUAGAGCUACAACGUGGUUGCAGCAUUCGGCAAAUCCAGCUGUAAAUGUGCAAUAACCACAAUUACAACCACAAUUUAAAAUCAAUUACUGGCACUUGAUGAUCACGCGGUCAAGCUUUUAAGCAGCACCCAGAUUAAGGGAAAUACUAAAGAAAGGUUAAAAUUUUGAUUUAAUUAAAUAUUCAUACCGUGACCAGCAUUAAAAAGUGCAGUUGUAUUAAUUUGUCUUUGCAAUCAAAUAGUCAGGCUGACAGGGUUUGAGCCCACUUCAAGUUCCACAACAACUAUGAGAACAAGGGUUCUACCCAAAAGGCUAUCAAUGUUUGUUUGACCCCAGCACUUGCAACUUCAGCAAUCCCACCAAAUUCAAGUGUGUUUGGAGUUGCCGAUUUAAAAUUUCCUGGCUAAUGUCACUGAAUCGAUGGAAUAUUGAAUUACCAAUUGGAACUCAAUGAACAUCUAAGCCCAAGAGUAUUGCUAGCACAUUUUAUUGUCUCCAAUGAUUUUCUGUGACAUCUUCUUCAGAAAAUCCAUUAUGAUAGCUAUGACUGUGUGCUAUUUAUUUCCUAUACAAUAAAUUCAAACUCCAGUGGUUCAAUGUUAAAUUCCAAACAAAGAUGAUUUUUUUGCCUUGUGUGAUAUUCAUCAUUUGUGAUAAGAUUCAUUUGAUGAAUUGCUAUUGAAUAUCGAAAAAAGACCUUUAGGUAAUUGCCUACGUUAUCAAUUUGUAACACAAUUGACUAACUUUGCCUAUUUACAGGUAUUUGUAAUUUUGCUUUACUAGCAAAUGCCUGCUCAAAUCUUAUAAAUUUACUUUGCUUUGUUAGUGACAAACUUUUAAAUGGCUUUGAAAAAGCAAGCAUUUAGUAAACCAAAGCUUUUUGUCUGACACCCUUUAGAGUUUAAAACGUCAGUCCAAGAGUUUUGUACCACCAAAAGAUUGUUUGACAGACCUUUGUUAACUUGUUAACCACGUUAUAAAGCUGUGUAAAAAGCUAUCAGUCUUAUUUUGAAAAUUUUAAAAAUGACUCUAAAAGAAUCUGGAAAGGCAUCAAUGACCUCCUCCAUUAAAGAAAGUCACAUAAGAGUCGAAAUUUCCAGCUAAAUAUUGCUGGGAAUUUAAUAACAGACCAAAAGGUAGUUGCAAAUGCGUUUGAUAAAUUUUUCACAAAUAUCUUGUAAAUAAAACGAGUCUAGCUAAGAACCAUCAAAAAAACUUUUUAAAAAGCCUUAAUAAAAUUUAUGAUCUCAAUUACUAGUACCACCUUCCACUACAUGUGCUAAAGAAUUGGCACAUACAUGUGCUAAAGAAUUGGCACACAAAGAAAAACAAGAACUCUAACAAUGUUUUAAAAGCAUUCCACUACCUUUUUUUAUCCCCUUUUUAUUUUUUGCCCCCUUUCCCAUAAACAAAUAGAUUAGAUUUACGUUUUAACUAUCAUAUUCAAAACCAACUUUUCUAUUUUUCAAAAUUUUUAUUCCUAGUUUAAAAAAAUGUUAUUGUUGUUUAUUAACAUUGUGUAUUGAUUUAUAAUUACUUCAGGCAAAAUUCACGUAUAAUGGCACAUGAAAGGUUAAGACAAAAAACAAAUGCUCAAACCCCCAUCCUAUUCUGGAUUCAGGUUCCUAGAUCCUGAAAGGUUGGUUGUUGUAUUUAUUACAGCGAUUUUUGUUCCUUAGGUACCACAGUUUAUGACAGGUUACAAGAUGUAAUAUUGAAUAAACAAAUAGUAGACAACAUGAAAAAGCUGUCAUCAUAUGCCCAGGCAAACUGUUUAGGAGGGUUCCAUGAAACCCUUAAUCAUUGGCAUCCCAAAAUGAUCAGCUUCUCUUGGAUGGGAACCAUCUUCAGGCACAUUUCAUGACGUAGUUGUCAAGGAACGCACAGUAACCCCAACAAACGAAUAUGACAAUGAAAUGAAGACACUUCUAUUCACAUGUGACAUAUAAAAACUUCAAUCUGCAGAUGAAAAGGUGGUCGCUAAACAACGCAAGCCUUUGAAUUAGCAAUAUUAAGACAGGAAAAGCAAGAAUGGAGCUGUCUAAAGCCACAAAGAACGGCAAAGGAUCUAUAAUUCACAGCAACUAUUUCCAUAAAGUAAGUAUCCUAAAUAUGACCGAGUGAUAAAAUUUUUUUUGUCAAUUGCAAAGAAAUCUAAUGUUCCCCACUUCUUCACAGCACUCAAUCUUCUUCUUCCGUUUUCUUUUCAUUUGAAAAUGACCAAUUUAUGGUCUUUCGAAGUUAGCAUAGGGCUCAAAUCUUGAUUGGCUGAGAGCUUGCGCUAAAUCAUGUGACCUCUCUCGCCGCUGAGCCAAUCACAGCCCCGGAAAGUGUAAACAAACUUAGGCCAAAGCCGAAAAUUGGGCAUUUUUACCACCGUCCAUUAAAAAAAUAACGUGUAAAAUCUGCUACAAUAAAUUUCAAAUUUUUUUAACUACAUCCCUACACAGAUAAAUUUCCCACAAAUCUACCGUGGAACAUGACCUCGAUUUUGCGUUGUUAAGAAAAUACAGCGUUGUAAACCUAGCCAUAGGAUACCUUCACAUCCAAGGGGUUUAAAAUUAACACAAUUUCAAGUCAAUUAUUGCUGUUACCCCAUAAAACCAAAAUUUUGCAUAUUUCAGUUGCUUUAAAUCUGAAUAUCACAUUAGACUCAGCUUAGUUUUAAAAAACUCUGACGAACAACGCAUGCAGUCUUUACUAGAGCUUUGAUCAACGCAAAAAUGAGAGAAUUUCCCUUUUCAAGACAAAAACUCUCAAUAGCUUUCAACUGAUCAUGUAAAAAUGCUCCACCUAGCCGGAGAAGCUUUUAAACUGAUACAUAAUGACUUAUUUUGCGACUGUACCAUGUCCUGAGCAUCUCUGCUGAAGCACAGGUAUCUAAGUAUUGUGGGGCGUGAAACGAUUAGUUCUAAACAUGUGCUGGGCACCCAAACAGAAUCGUAAUAUAUGUAUAUAAAGGGAAAAAAGCUACUCAAAACCUAAUUAGAAAUACUUACUGUGUUUCUGUGAGUGUUGGAAUCCUGCUUUGACAAUUUUUGAAUCAUGAUUUACAUAACGCGUUUGAAGGUAAAUUUGUGGGUUAUUCUUGUCCUUGUGACAUAAGAAUUCAUAUUUCGAACAAUUCUUCACGCCCACCUCUUCCAGUCCGUUGCAAUUUUAAAUUUAGGAGAUAAAAAUGAUGAAGACUUUUGAAAGCAGGAACUACCCGCAUGUUUCUCAAAUUUCAAAAGUUAGCAAAUGAUGACGUGUUGUAACAAAGUGAAUUUUCAAAAAAUUAAAUUCAACUUUUAAAAGUAUUGCAAGGGUUUCGAGAUUUCGUGACUUUUCAGUGAAAGGUCUACAUAUUGAUUCUUCGAAAAGUAACUUAUGAUAGUUUUAGAAUAAAGAGAGAUGCAAAUUGUUUGCCAUUUUAAUUGUUUUGCUUGAAGCGUUAAACUAUAAAACUGUUAGAAUAAAAAGUCAAUUUUUGAACAAGGCCGAUUUCUAAAAAAACGAUAACUCUUUAUGCUUCAUAUUAUAAAGCAAACUGCCAUGACAUUAGCCUUAAACUCAUAAUUUACUGUCACGAAUAGCUGAAUUACAUACAAUGAGGUGAAACUAUUCAUAGUCAGUGGUGAUUUCUAGGGGGGUGUAGGGGGCGAUAAAUCAGCCCCUUUGCUCUUUCUUGGUUUUGGAGGCUCUGCCUCUUAAAGGGGAAUUUUCAGGUCUUCUCAUCUAGAUCUUAGAUCUUUUCAGGAUAAGGGGGAUUUUCGAAAGCAUGAUCAAUGAAGUUUUAUUUGCAAAUACCACGAGAAAGGAUGCACAAAUUGUUAAUUUUCUCAUCACUGGUACCUCUUUGAUUAGUGUCUCACCUUCGAAGUAUACUGUUAAGUAUACUGAAGUAUAGCUGCAUUGUUUUGGGAAGAACAGUCAUAUCAAACAUUGAUUUGCUUCAGUAUUGGUUAAUUCAUUUGAUGGGUGUGAUAAAAGAUGAUCGUGGUCAUAAGAAACCACAACCGGUCUUAUAAAAUCGCAUCUAGAGCCCCCUUCCAAGAACUUUUAGAAAUCAGCCCUGUUCAAAAAAUGACUUUUUAUUCUGACAGUUUUACAGUUAAACGCUUCAAGCAAAACAAUUAAAAUGGCAAACAAUUUGCAUCUCUUUAUUCUAAAACUAAAUGUCAAACAAUUUGCAUCUCUCUUUAUUCUAAAACUAUCAUAAGUUACUUUUCGAAGAAUCAAUAUGUAGACCUUUCACUGAAAAGUCACGAAAUCUCGAAACCCUUGCAAUACUUUUAAAAGUUGAAUUUAAUUUUUUGAAAAUUCACUUUGUUACAACACGUCAUCAUUUGCUAACUUUUGAAAUUUGAGAAACAUGCGGGUAGUUCCUGCUUUCAAAAGUCUUCAUCAUUUUUAUCUCCUAAAUUUAAAAUUGCAACGGACUGGAAGAGGUGGGCGUGAAGAAUUGUUCGAAAUAUGAAUUCUUAUGUCACAAGGACAAGAAUAACCCACAAAUUUACCUUCAAACGCGUUAUGUAAAUCAUGAUUCAAAAAUUGUCAAAGCAGGAUUCCAACACUCACAGAAACACAGUAAGUAUUUCUAAUUAGGUUUUGAGUAGCUUUUUUCCCUUUAUAUACAUAUAUUACGAUUCUGUUUGGGUGCCCAGCACAUGUUUAGAACUAAUCGUUUCACGCCCCACAAUACUUAGAUACCUGUGCUUCAGCAGAGAUGCUCAGGACAUGGUACAGUCGCAAAAUAAGUCAUUAUGUAUCAGUUUAAAAGCUUCUCCGGCUAGGUGGAGCAUUUUUACAUGAUCAGUUGAAAGCUAUUGAGAGUUUUUGUCUUGAAAAGGGAAAUUCUCUCAUUUUUGCGUUGAUCAAAGCUCUAGUAAAGACUGCAUGCGUUGUUCGUCAGAGUUUUUUAAAACUAAGCUGAGUCUAAUGUGAUAUUCAGAUUUAAAGCAACUGAAAUAUGCAAAAUUUUGGUUUUAUGGGGUAACAGCAAUAAUUGACUUGAAAUUGUGUUAAUUUUAAACCCCUUGGAUGUGAAGGUAUCCUAUGGCUAGGUUUACAACGCUGUAUUUUCUUAACAACGCAAAAUCGAGGUCAUGUUCCACGGUAGAUUUGUGGGAAAUUUAUCUGUGUAGGGAUGUAGUUAAAAAAAUUUGAAAUUUAUUGUAGCAGAUUUUACACGUUAUUUUUUUAAUGGACGGUGGUAAAAAUGCCCAAUUUUCGGCUUUGGCCUAAGUUUGUUUACACUUUCUGGGGCUGUGAUUGGCUCAGCGGCGAGAGAGGUCACAUGAUUUAGCGCAAGCUCUCAGCCAAUCAAGAUUUGAGCCCUAUGCUUUCGAAGUUUAAAGUAAUAAAAAUCAAUCUGUUGUUGAAAAGUGUUUGGGGUGAUUUAUGACUAUUGAAAAAUUCUUCGGUGUUCCAAUAUUCGGUGUUCUUUAUGACCAUCUUCCUGCAGGCACUGUAGGUAUUUUGUUUUCCAACCCCGGUAAUAGUGGCUUUACUUUUAUGCAAAACAAGGUCAGAGUUCAUGCAGCUCCUAGACAAUGCAAUCAUUGGAAGUUGAAAGAGAUUUGGACCACCAGUAGAGUAAUUGUAUUCCACUAGAGUCUGGAUCUGACUCUGACAGACCGAGCAGCGAAAGCUCAGUUGGUCAAAUUUCCGACUCUGAACCAUCAGUUCAACCCCUCUCGCCAACUGAGCCAACGCUAGAUGUCUGUUAGGCAAGAGAAGGGGAAUUAAAAUGCUCAACUACUGAAAAGACCUUAACAGGCUAUACACUAGCAGCUAGACUCAAAUAGACAGACAGAUCUUAUUUUUUGCUAUUCCCAUCCUACAGAUUUCUCAAGAAAAUUGCCAUUGAAGCAGUAUACUUUUACUGCGUUUUCCUACUUGCUAGUCUUUCUUUCAAGAAAAUAGGUUAUUUGGCUUGUGAAGAAAAAAUUUGAUUCAAUGCUCUACCACAUAUUUGUUCAUGCUUUCUUAUAUCUAUACUUUUAAGGGGACGGUUAUCUAGCUUUUCAUUAAAUGUUUACAUGUAAAAUGCACCAAUUGGAUGUGAGCCUCUGUGCCAAUUCACUAAUUUGAUGCCCAUGCUUAAGGUCAUUGGUAUAUUUUAUAAAACUACGCCUACACCAACCCUAGUUAUUUCAAGCCACUUCUCUAUUUCUCUUAGAACUUUGAAAAAAUGGGGGUCCUAUCGCUGGCAUUUUCAAUGUUUUUGUUCCAGGGACCGCGGACAUGAAUUAGAGGAUUGAAGGAUCUAUAAAAAGUUUUUUUGGAGAGGAUAACAUUCACCAAAGACAAACAUAGCUUCUUUAGAGUUUCAGUUUUUACAAGUAAUAACGCAAUAAGCCCCCUUGCCCCCACGCUUCUGCGCCCUAUUUUCCAGUUUGAGAAAUCUUUAUGAACUGCUACUUAGCGGAGUUCAAGUAGCCUAACCUGUCUUGGAGAUAUACUCCUCACUAUGAAAUUUUCAUCAACAAAUUUUUUUAACUUUUAGAAUUUUCUGAAAAAAAACACGAGUCGUCCACCUUGCAUUCUCAUAGCUGCUUGCAAGCAACUGAUAUCAGUAUGGGAUGAUAUACACGACAUAAGACCAAACAUACCAGAAGAAGGUGAGGUUAAAAAAUUCUAACAUCUUUCACUUUAUUUUUGUAGGCCAAUAAUUGUUCAGACCAAUGAUUGUGUAAUUGAUGUAUUUUAUUUUGUUCGACUUUAUUCCUGAUUUCUUUAUGUUGCGCAUUAAUAUAAGCCGCAGGAUACUGUUUCAACAGAUGUUUAUUCUUGUUAUCAGGGUUGCCUUGUGAUCAAAGCCCUAGACUUUAGUGAGCCAAUGGUUUUGGUUGCAAAGUUAGAAGGACAACGAUAAAGACCAGUAUGUUGUGGCUGUCAACAAAAAAAGCUUUGUAAGGCCCUAUUCACACUGCAUCUAGAAACCUGAUAAUGUUAAUCCCUUAUUGUUCUAUCUUCAAAGGCGGCAAGGGUUUGUCAGGAAGUAGUUUAAUUGGUAGAGUGCGAACAGCAAAAUCUGAAAUCUGACAAAUUGUAACGUUUCAACUAAUUGGUCAAAGGUUCUGUCGUAGAGCUCUGGAGCAUCACAAUCUCAUGAAAAUCCAUGAUAACCAGCGGGUGACUCGAAGGACAUGCCAGAAUUAUGUUAACACCAAUAAAAAGUCCAGGGUGCUAUUUGAAAUCAUGUCACAAUUUAAAAAAGGUACAAUUUCUUAAUGGCAACCUGAUAACGUGUUAGAUACAACAUCUCAGAAAAGUGCCUAAUGAGAACAGAAGUCUGACAAACUUUGUCAAUCUUGAAAAAGUUUUUUUAAUUGGGGUGAGAAUAUCGGGUUUGACAAACAUUAUCAUAUUUGCAGGCGAAUAGGGCCUAUGCCUCUGCUGCAAACAUGGAAGGCACUCGUGUAGCCAUGUAAAGUACAUAAAUGCCAUCGUAAAAAGCCAAAAAAUGCCAGAUAGUUUGAAAGAGGUUGUCAGAAGGAGUGACAUUUUGCGAAAAAGGCACCAGGAUGCGUACAUUAGAAUCCUGUGUCAACUGGCAAAAUUUCUUUGGAGACUCUACCACAUCAGCGUAGUGUCUAUGUAGGGUCUUACAGUCAUGCUGUUAUGGAGACAGUGGAAGGCAGCCUUUUGGUUCCAGAUUUUGAUGGGAACAAUUGUAGAAACUGCGGAGAAAGAUUGAAUGACCAUUUUGUUGGGCAACCCCGAGUAAGACUCAUUUCACGCAGCUUCAUAAAACUCAUGAGUGGUACGUGGGAUCCUUUUAGAUUUUUUCUCACUGUAUGUAUAUUCUAUGACAUAGAAAAUUUCUUGACAAACUGACUCUGUCUUCUUAUCAAAAAAGGUCUGCUUGGUAUUUCAUAGCUUUAUUUGCUUUCUCAAGCUACCAGAACAUAAAGGUAGUCCGAUCAUUGGUCGAGCAUUCAAACUACCAUGAAUUUCUCUGCACCAGGAAUGGGUAAUCUUUUUUUCUUGCAGUGGGGUUUUAGAGCAUGUUACAUUAGAACGUUAUUUAAGAAACUCGACACGAUCUCUAGUGUUCUUCCUUAAAUUACCUAUUCCCUCAUAGGUCCUCUUUUUUGGAAUAAGGUUUCAUGGGAACAUGAAAUUCCAGACUUUGUACUAAAAGUAAUCGAUAAAGUAAUUUUGUAUUGAAACAAGUUGAUUAUCAUUGGCUAACAGGCGGGUAAAAAGAUAUUUAUAGUUUUUUCACUUUUUCUGUUCCAGAGAGAAAAUGUCCCAACACAAACUGCUCCGUUGUUCAGAAUUAUUGUGGUUCAAACAAAGGAAUUCUCAAACAUGGGUUAUUUUCUUUUUGGGCACGAUGUCUUGAAGGACUACAUGUUUUGAUUCCUCAUUGGAAACAGGUGAUUACCAUAAAAAGUUUUUAAGUUUUUGCUAAAUAAAUGAGGACGAAAUUCCUGCUUCCAUAGAGGAUUUGCUUCAAUGCUUGGCUUCAGAAUCACCUGUCUCCUCGUACUUGCCCUCAGACAACGAGCUCAGUGUACAUGUAAGCGAGCUAUGCUCAACAACUGAUAAAGGUGUUGCAAUUGGAAGCAACAUCAUUGCAAUGUCAUUUAUACAGCAGGUAGCUCCUGUUCGCGCUGACAAUGACCCAAUUGCUGCCCCUUCCCGAUAAACGGAGGAAGUUGUUCCUGCUCUUGCAGAAAAAUUCGAGCAACUCAUACAACAAUAAACCCCAUACACUGCCUGCAGCUACCAAAGCUCAGAAAAAUAACGGAGUUGCCUUUUUCCCGAACUGGCCAGUACAGUGUUCUCGAGCUAAAAAACGACUUUGCUGCCUGGGCUUUUCACUGUACACUGCGAGCAUGGAAUUUGCUAGGGCUUUGAAAUAAUAGAGUCCCAGGAAUCGCCAAAUGUACCCUUUACAAUUUUCCGGAUGAGAUUUCCAACAGGUACAAGUAGAUUUUGCUAUUUGAAUAAUAAUGUAAACUUUUUUAUAUAUAUACAGCAACUUAUGUUUUAUACCAGAUAUGUAAGUAGAGCGGAAACAUCCAAGUUUAAGAUUACUUUUAUUUAGAUUAUUCCCUCCCUAAGAACUUGCGCGAAUAAUUUCUAUUCAAACAAAUUGUUAUAUUCAAACUGCGGUGUGGUGACAAACCUUUUUAUUAAGGAAGACAAUUAUUUGCAUUAGAGGUUCUGGGUCCAGUCAACCUGUUGCCCCUAUUGGUGAAAUGGGUGACCUUGACACUAGAAACAAUUUAUCUAGCAUCGCUAAUUCAAAACAUUUUGUAAACCGGCAGCCUAUUGGUAUAUAAACAGUGCUGAAAAUCACCUCUUAAUUUUCUAAUAGUAUGUUGUGUUUGUAAGCGAGACAGAUAAAAUGACAUUAUUGACGUGCAUCUUUUUCACAGUACCAAAAGCCAUACUAUACGACAACAGCUGCCAUUUGCAUGCAUAUUGUUUGAAACGAGAUCCAGGAUUUUUAAAAAAAUGCACCUUUGCCGUUGACUGAUUUCAUUGGAAAAAUCACAAAGGUUUGCAAAAAUCAUCAAAAUUACAACUAAAUGAAAUAGCAACAUAAAACUAAACUUGCUAGAGAAAGAAAACAACUUGUGUUUCUGGCAAAUACAUAGUGAGAUAGGUUGAUGCUAUUUAAUACUGCAAUUUUGCAAAAAAAGGAAACUAAAUGUACAAGAAUACCAAGGGAACAGAAGAUCCAGGUGUAAAGACAACUGGUGACUAGUUAGUGCUUAUUUCUAAAAUCCCACAGGAAAAUGUUGUGACUAGUUGUAGAACCGUAUGUUUGCUCUACUAGAGAGUCACAUCAACCAGAAAUAUUACAACAAGCAAGGCUCUUAAUGUAAGAAAAUAUACUUUUAGUUCAUUCAAAGUAUUGACCAGAGAUAUGGAUCCUUUCACAGUUGUAUCUGAUAUGGACACAGGGAACUGGGUAGAUAAUGGACUAUACAUACACGUUAAGCAGCCUGUGUAUUGGUACUUAAGUAUUUAGGUUGCAUUUUUAAAGCAAAAACAUGUUAAUUUUUAGCAAAACUUUUUGGGACACAUCAUGUAACAUUUUUGAUCAUAAGACAUAUUUGUCGCUAGAAGGUACUUGUUAUAUUAUGGGAUAAAAGUUUUUUGAUUUAUUAUUUCAUGAUGAAUUCCAUUAUAGCCUGUGCCAGAAGUUACAAUAUGCAUAUAUACCCAAAGUUUCAAAGCACACAUAGCCAAAAAAGAGCAAAGAAAUGUCCAGCUAAAGAAAAUAGAGUACCAAUUUUCUUACAUGUCCAAAAAAAAUUUCAUGAGGCCAUUGGUUCUACACCUGUACAACCAAAACACGAAGCUGCUAAAAUACAGAAUAUUGCUUGACAUCUUUCAGCAUAUUUUAGUAAUAACGAAAUAAAUAUACUUUUCUCAAGCCAUAUUUUGUCUUCCAUUGUAUCAUUGUGAUUAACUUCUUCACCGAUAUAUAACAAUUUGAGAAUAGUCACUUCAAAUUCGAAUCAAACAUACUUAUACUUAAGUGUAUUUUAUAAACAAAUUUUAUACUCCAUUGAAUCAUUGACAAGGCGUCUUGCAUAGAGCAGUGGAUUUUUCGCUAAACGGUGAAUAAGGAAAGCUGCAACAUAUAGAAAACAUGAUGCAUUGCUAUCUGUCCGCAAUUUACAAUGCGACAUUUGUUUACACAUUCGAUUAGACAUUCGCGUUCUCGCUUACACAUUCGGAGGGUUUUGGCCAAAAAAUAGACAUUCGAGAAACUUGACGAAUAUUCGAAGCAAAAACUCUUUUUCUAAAGAAAAAACCCAAUAUAAAAAAAACUCAAAACAAAACAUAUAGGUAUAUUAUUAAGCCAUGCUCACCUGCAAAUAUUUUUCAAUUUCCCAAAAUAUUUUCAGAGAAACAGAUCAAAAUCGACACAGCACUCUAAGCAAAGAUUCGACUGGAAAAACUACCAAAAACUCGCCUAUUUGUACUCGAAUAACUUUUUCAAAUGUGAAUAGAAUUUGAGGAAACUUCACAAAACAUCAUUAAAUAACCUACCACACAUGUUUCUGGAGGUCUUUUGAAUCUCUGACUUUCUGGGGUAAAGUUCCGAAUUUGACCCCGAUACUGAAGCCUUAUAUUCAGGUAAAAAUAUCUCGUUGUACUCGAAUAACUUUUUCAAAUGUGAACAGAAUUUGAGGAAACUUCACAAAACAUCAAUAAAUGACCUACUACACAUGUUUCUGGAGGUCUUUUGAAUUUCAUGUGAAGGGAAAGAAUUACUCAGAGGACUUUUCAAAAAUGUCAAUAAGUUUUUUGUAUUUAGGUUCGGAUAUCAACAUAUUCAGAAAUCGUGUUCUCGAAAGAGGAACUCCGAUUUAAUCAAAAGCAGAGCUUCAUGUUGCAUAAGUAACUGUAAGUUCAACGUCCUUUACCGAAUACCAACUAUAGAUUCAAAUUACAUUCAUUUAAGUCUUACUGGGUACAUCCUCCAUAAAAAAGGGUCGAUGGCAGCAGAACGUAUUACUGGUCAGAAAAAAGAUAAUUUGCGAGCUCUCUUUCAGGAGGAAAGAACACUUUUACCCUCUGAAAAACAUUGCCUAGAUUUAAGUAACAUAAUCCUGAUUUGCUUGCUGCUGGAAACAAGACUGAGGUGGGUAAAAAUCACAUCGCCUACCAGCAGGUAGCUACUAAGGCCCGGAAGGACGACGAUCAUUUAGAAAAUAUUUUCAAGAAAGUAAUUGCUCUUCAGAACGAAAUAAAAAUCUCUGACGAAGAGCAGGCUAUAAAGCAGUGUGCGAUAUUUAGAAAUCAUUUUGGAUAUAUUCAAAGGCUAACUGUAACAGCAGAUGAAAUAAGCAUUACUUUGGUAGAUCAACCGAUGACUAUGUUGUAUCAUGAACAUGUUAAAGAUAACGCUACUGGCUCAUUAGUUAGAUCUAUCAAAGGAUUAAAAAAAAACUCUCUACUACGCAGCAACUAUUCAGCACCCUGUUAAUAAAUCUCCCCCGGUGCCGGUUGCGGAAUUUAAAUCUACGAACCACGAUCAAUUCUCGAUUAGAAGAUUUAUAAGCACUCUCCGGGAAAUGGAAAGUAUGAAAUAUGGACACGAUAAGGCAGUUAAUCCAAGGCUAAUUGUCCUUGACUAUAGUAUGGCAAUAAUUAAUGCUUAUCUUUUGGAAUUUUCUGGGGAAUCUAUGACAGAUUAUUUGAACAGGGCAUUUAGAGUUAUACAUGGCAGUGCUUGUCAAUCUAAAUUAAACAAAACUUUUUUUCAUAUAUGCUCUUCUCAUAUAAUGCGCCUCAACAGAAUGCAUGCAUUGAAAGACAACUCUGGUGGGCA